rnacentral:rRNA from 1 species
AGGAUGAACGCUGGCGGCGUGCUUAACACAUGCAAGUCGAACGGAGGAGCGAUUUCGGUUGCUCUUCAGUGGCGCACGGGUGAGUAACACGUAGCUGACCUGCCCUUGAGAGUGGGAUAACGGGUCGAAAGACCUGCUAAUACCGCAUAAGCUCCCGCGUUUUAGAGGUGUGGGAGAAAAGGCGUGCAAACGCCGCUUGAGGAGGGGGCUGCGGACCAUCAGCUAGUUGGUGGGGUAACGGCCUACCAAGGCGACGAC